GACGAAGGGGGCUAGCGUUGUUCGGAAUUACUGGGCGUAAAGCGAGUGUAGGUGGUUUUCCAAGUUGGAUGUGAAAGCCUUGAGCUCAACUCAAGAAAUGCAUUCAGGACUGGAUGACUAGAGGACCGGAGAGGAUAGUGGAAUUCCCAGUGUAGUGGUGAAAUACGUAGAGAUUGGGAAGAACACCAGUGGCGAAGGCGGCUAUCUGGACGGUUUCUGACACUAAGACUCGAAAGUGUGGGGAGCAAACAGG
rnacentral:rRNA from 1 species